GAUGAAGAACGCAGCGAAAUGCGAUAAGUAAUGCGAAUUGCAGAAUUUCCGUGAGUCAUCGAAUCUUUGAACGCACAUUGCGCCCCCUGGUAUUCCGGGGGGCAUGCCUGUCCGAGCGUCAUUACAACCCUCAAGCUCAGCUUGGUGUUGGGCCCCGCCGCCCCGGCGGGCCCUAAAGUCAGUGGCGGUGCCGUCCGGCUCCGAGCGUAGUAAUUCUUCUCGCUCUGGAGGUCCGGUCGUGUGCUUGCCAGCAACCCCCAAUUUUUUUCAGGUUGACCUCGGAUCAGGUAGGGAUACCCGCUGAACUUAAGCAUAUCAAUAAGCGGAGGA
rnacentral:misc_RNA from 1 species